rnacentral:rRNA from 1 species
UACAGAGGUGGCAAGCGUUGUUCGGAAUUACUGGGCGUAAAGGGCGCGUAGGCGGCCAUCUAAGUCAGACGUGAAAUCCCCCGGCUUAACCUGGGAACUGCGUCUGAUACUGGACGGCUUGAGUUUGGGAGAGGGAUGCAGAAUUCCAGGUGUAGCGGUGAAAUGCGUAGAUAUCAGGAGGAACACCGGUGGCGAAGGCGGGUCUCUGGGCCGAUACUGACGCUGAGGAGCGAAAGCGUGGGGAGCAAACAGG